CAACAAGAUUGAUGUAUACUGCCUGAACGCCCUGAAAAUAGAUCAUUGUCCGCAAGUGUAGUUACCAAUAUAACAGCCUAGUCUUGCUGUGCUAUGAGUUUGCCUGGAUUGCCAUUACUUAUAGGCCAAGUAGACUGUGGUGAAUGCCAGAUACUAGCCAACUUUUUCUGAAAGAGCCAGAUGAUAAAUAUCAUAAACUUUGUGGCCCAGACAGGUUCUGUUGCAACUCCCAACUCUGCCACUGUAGUGUGAAAACAUAGACAAUGGAGAACGAAUGUGAAUGGCCAGAGUUGCUCCACAGGAUUGCUAACUCCUGCUCCACACUUUGUGAUAUGCAGAUCCCAUGCAAGAAGUCCCACCUCAUUUCCCUGAAGAGUCACCAUAAAAGGCAUUCCAUGUUUAGACAUCAUAUUUACAAAGGCCUAAUAAAUAAUAACAUGUUAAUCUAUUAUCCACCAUCAACAUGUUAGCACAGUUUUAUUUAUCCUUGAAGUGAACCUGGAGAUCACAGGAUGACCUUUCUAUGCAUACACUCUCCUCUAACUUUGACCAGCGGUCUCAUAAAUACACGUCCCAGGUCACCAUGGACAACUAAACAAAUAUAUGGGUUGCUUGGUGAGAUUUCA
rnacentral:lncRNA from 10 species